rnacentral:rRNA from 1 species
CUCGGCGGACGGCUCAGUAACACGCGGAUAACCUGCCCUCAGGUGGGGGACACCCUCGGGAAACUGAGGAUAAUACCCCAUAGGUCUGGGAUGCUGGAACGCUUCCAGGCCGAAAGCUCCGGCGCCUGAGGAUGGGUCUGCGGCCUAUCAGCUUGUAGGGGGUUUUACAGACCCCCUAGGCUUCGACGGGUACGGGCUAUGGGAGUAGUCGCCCGGAGAUGGAUUCUGAGACACGAAUCCAGGUCCUACGGGGCGCAGCAGUCGCGAAAACUCCGCAAUGUGGGCAACCACGACGGGGGAACUCCCAGUGCGCGCACUUAGUGUGCGCUGUUCUUCUGCCUAAAAAGCAGGAGAAGUAAGGGCCGGGUAAGACGGGUGCCAGCCGCCGCGGUAAUACCCGCGGCCCGAGUGGUGCUCAUUAUUAUUGAGUCUAAAACGUCCGUAGCCGGUCGAGUAGAUUCCUGGGUAAAUCGGGUCGCUCAACGAUCCGAAUUCCGGGGAGACCGCCCGACUAGGGACCGGGAGAGGCGCGAGGUACUCCUGGGGUAGGGGUAAAAUCCUGUAAUCCUGGGAGGACCACCAGUGGCGAAGGCGUCGCGCUAGAACGGAUCCGACGGUCAGGGACGAAGCCCAAGGGCGCAAACGGGAUUAGAUACCCCGGUAGUCUUGGGUGUAAACGCUGCAGGCUUGGUGUCGGGGGUCCUACGGGGGCUCCCGGUGCCGGAGCGAAGGUGUUAAGCCUGCUACUUGG